rnacentral:rRNA from 1 species
AUGGUUAAGUUAGAAAGGGCGCACGGUGGAUGCCUUGGCACUAGGAGCCGAUGAAGGACGGGACGAACACCGAUAUGCUUCGGGGAGCUGUAAGCAAGCUUUGAUCCGGAGAUUUCCGAAUGGGGAAACCCACUGCUCGUAAUGGAGUAGUAUCCAUACUUGAAUACAUAGAGUAUGAGAAGGCAUACCCGGGGAACUGAAACAUCUAAGUACCCGGAGGAAGAGAAAGCAAAUGCGAUUCCCUGAGUAGCGGCGAGCGAAACGGGAACAGCCCAAACCAAGAGGCUUGCCUCUUGGGGUUGUAGGACACUCUAUACGGAGUUACAAAGGAACGAUAUAAGCGAAGAGGUCUGGAAAGGCCCGCCAAAGAAGGUAACAGCCCUGUAACUGAAAUGUUGUUCUCUCCAGAGUGGAUCCUGAGUACGGCGGAACACGUGAAAUUCCGUCGGAAUCCGGGAGGACCAUCUCCCAAGGCUAAAUACUCCCUAGUGACCGAUAGUGAACCAGUACCGUGAGGGAAAGGUGAAAAGCACCCCGGAAGGGGAGUGAAAUAGAUCCUGAAACCGUGUGCCUACAAGUAGUCAGAGCCCGUUAAAGGGUGAUGGCGUGCCUUUUGUAGAAUGAACCGGCGAGUUACGAUCCCGUGCAAGGUUAAGCAGAAGAUGCGGAGCCGCAGCGAAAGCGAGUCUGAAUAGGGCGCAUGAGUACGUGGUCGUAGACCCGAAACCAGGUGAUCUACCCAUGUCCAGGGUGAAGUUCAGGUAACACUGAAUGGAGGCCCGAACCCACGCACGUUGAAAAGUGCGGGGAUGAGGUGUGGGUAGGGGUGAAAUGCCAAUCGAACCUGGAGAUAGCUGGUUCUCUCCGAAAUAGCUUUAGGGCUAGCCUCAAGGUAAGAGUCUCGGAGGUAGAGCACUGAUUGGACUAGGGGCCCCUACCGGGUUACCGAAUUCAGUCAAACUCCGAAUGCCGAUGACUUAUCCUUGGGAGUCAGACUGCGAGUGAUAAGAUCCGUAGUCGAAAGGGAAACAGCCCAGACCGCCAGCUAAGGUCCCAAAGUAUACGUUAAGUGGAAAAGGAUGUGGAGUUGCUUAGACAACCAGGAUGUUGGCUUAGAAGCAGCCACCAUUUAAAGAGUGCGUAAUAGCUCACUGGUCGAGUGACUCUGCGCCGAAAAUGUACCGGGGCUAAACGUAUCACCGAAGCUGCGGACUGUUCUAACGAACAGUGGUAGGAGAGCGUUCUAAGUGCUGUGAAGUCAGACCGGAAGGACUGGUGGAGCGCUUAGAAGUGAGAAUGCCGGUAUGAGUAGCGAAAGACGGGUGAGAAUCCCGUCCACCGAAUGCCUAAGGUUUCCUGAGGAAGGCUCGUCCGCUCAGGGUUAGUCGGGACCUAAGCCGAGGCCGAAAGGCGUAGGCGAUGGACAACAGGUUGAUAUUCCUGUACCACCUCCUCACCAUUUGAGCAAUGGGGGGACGCAGGAGGAUAGGGUAAGCGCGGUAUUGGAUAUCCGCGUCCAAGCAGUUAGGCUGGGAAAUAGGCAAAUCCGUUUCCCGUGAAGGCUGAGCUGUGAUGGCGAGCGAAAUUUAGUAGCGAAGUUCCUGAUUCCACACUGCCAAGAAAAGCCUCUAGCGAGGUGAGAGGUGCCCGUACCGCAAACCGACACAGGUAGGCGAGGAGAGAAUCCUAAGGUGAUCGAGAGAACUCUCGUUAAGGAACUCGGCAAAAUGACCCCGUAACUUCGGGAGAAGGGGUGCUUCUUAGGGUGUUAAAGCCCCGAGAAGCCGCAGUGAAUAGGCCCAGGCGACUGUUUAGCAAAAACACAGGUCUCUGCGAAGCCGUAAGGCGAAGUAUAGGGGCUGACGCCU